rnacentral:rRNA from 1 species
CGGAGAUGGAUUCUGAGACACGAAUCCAGGCCCUACGGGGUGCAGCAGGCGCGAAAACUUUACAAUGCUGGCAACAGCGAUAAGGGAACCUCGAGUGCCAGGUUACAAAUCUGGCUGUCGUGAUGCCUAAAAAGCAUUGCAUAGCAAGGGCCGGGCAAGACCGGUGCCAGCCGCCGCGGUAACACCGGCGGCUCGAGUGGUAACCGUUAUUAUUGGGUCUAAAGGGUCUGUAGCCGGCCGGAUAAGUCUCUUGAGAAAUCCAGCAGCUCAACUGUUGGGCUUUCAGGAGAUACUGUCUGGCUCGAGGCCGGGAGAGGUGAGAGGUACUUCAGGGGUAGGGGUGAAAUCUUGUAAUCCUUGAAGGACCACCAGUGGCGAAGGCGUCUCACCAGAACGGACCUGACGGCAAGGGACGAAAGCUAGGGGCACGAACCGGAUUAGAUACCCGGGUAGUCCUAGCCGUAAACGAUACUCGCUAGGUGUCGGCCACGGUGCGACCGUUGUCGGUGCCGUAGGGAAGCCGUGAAGCGAGC